GACGGAAGGUGCAAGCGUUGCUCGGAAUCACUGGGCGUAAAGGGUGCGUAGGCGGCUUCUUAAGUCUGGUGUGAAAGCCCAGGGCUCAGCUCUGGAAGUGCACUAGAUACUGGGAAGCUUGAGUACCGGAGGGGAGAGUGGAAUUCCUGGUGUAGCGGUGAAAUGCGCAGAUAUCAGGAGGGAACACCGGUGGCGAAGGCGGGUCUCUGGGCCGAUACUGACGCUGGAGGAGCGGAAAAGCGUGGGGAGCGAACAGG
rnacentral:rRNA from 1 species